rnacentral:rRNA from 1 species
UACGUAGGAUGCAAGCGUUGUCCGGAGUUAUUGGGCGUAAAGCGCACGUAGGCGGUGCGGUAAGUGUGGUGUGAAAUCUGCGGGCUUAACCCGCAGCGGUCGCUGCAGACUGCCGUGCUUGAGGGCUGGAGAGGAAGGUAGAAUUCCCGGUGUAGUGGUGAAAUGCGUAGAUAUCGGGAGGAAUACCAGUGGCGAAGGCGGUCUUCUGGCCAGUUCCUGACGCUGAGGUGCGAAAGCUAGGGGAGCGAACGGG